rnacentral:rRNA from 1 species
AAUAUUGGACAAUGGGGGCAACCCUUAUCCAGCCAUGCCGCGGGUGUGAUGAAGGUCUUCGGAUCGUAUAGACUUUUAAGUGUGGAGGACAUUCUUGCGGCUAAUACCUUAAAGUUUGGACUCUACGAACCGCAUAGGCACGGUCUAACUUUGUGCCUGCAGCCGCGGUAAUACAGAGGGUGCAAGCGUUAAUCGGAAUUACUGGGCGUAAAGCGCGCGUAGGUGGUUCAGUAAGAUGGGUGUGAAAUCCCCGGGCUUAACCUGGGAACUGCUUUCAUAACUGCUGAGCUAGAGUACGGUAGAGGGUAGUGGAAUUUCCUGUGUAGCGGUGAAAUGCGUAGAUAUAGGAAGGAACACCAGUGGCGAAGGCGACCACCUGGGCUAAUACUGACACUGAGGUGCGAAAGCGUGGGGAGCAAAC